AGAGUUUGAUCCUGGCUCAGACAACGCUGGCGGCGCGUCUUAAACAUGCAAGUCGAACGAUCUGUAGCAAUACAGGGAGUGGCGGACGGGUGAGGAACACGUAGGAAUCUACCUAGAAGAGCGGGACAACCUUGGGAAACCGGGGCUAAUACCGCAUAGUACAGUGAUGUUAAAGGGCUAGCAAUAGUCGCUUCUAGAUGAGCCUGCGGUCUAUCAGCUUGUUGGCGGGGUAACGGCCCACCAAGGCUACGACGGAUAGCCGGUCUGAGAGGAUGAUCGGCCACACUGGCACUGAGACACGGGCCAGACUCCUACGGGAGGCAGCAGUUAAGAAUCUUGCGCAAUGGACGAAAGUCUGACGCAGCGACGCCGCGUGAAGGAUGAAGGCUUUCGGGUUGUAAACUUCGGUAGACUGGGAAGAAAAAGUAAGUUCGUUGAGGGCUUACAUUGACGGUACCAGUCUGAAGCCCCGGCUAAUUACGUG
rnacentral:rRNA from 1 species